GCUACAGUGGCGGGGGAAAAGAGAAGCAGGGCCACCAUCAACUCUGUUGAAAGACCAGCUCUAUCAGGCUCUACCAUGCAUCAAUAGUAACCAGGCAGCAGCUAUUCCAUCAGGCUCCAGCAGAGGACGGAAGGAAGGGAAGGGAAGCAGGGCUACUCCAUCAGCAAUGCCAAGAGACCAGAAACGUUUGGUUCCCCUUCUCCUUGAACUGUUUCCAUUUCUGCUGGUUGUUGUACUGUUGCCUGAUUGAAAGCCUCAAGGCGGAGAUGGUCUUUUUACUGAACUUUGCAAACCACUCGGGGAGCCUUUUUCAGCUGAAGAGCAGGGUACAAAUGCUUCAAAUAGCAACGAAGAAAAAGAAGGAGGAAGAAUUUGAAAAGCUACACUUUUAUCUCUGUAGUGUGAAUGGAGCAGCAGGAUUUACAUGCAAAAUGACAACUCUUCCUAUUGGGAAGCCCCAUAACUCAGUGGCAGACCAUCAGCUUUGCAUGCAGGUCCCAGGUUCAGUCAACAGGUAGGACUGGGAAACAGGGCCUAUCAAACCCCAGAGAGUGGCUGCCAGUCCAUGAUCUUUCAGUUGCCUCAUUGCAUAUAAGGCAGCUUCCUGUGGUCCUAGAGCAGUAGCCUCCAAGCAGCCCAAUGCUGCUGCCCUUCCAAAGGUAGGAAAUGCACACACCAAUUGCUCUUUUAAAAAAGACCAUUCAGGUGUGUAGGUGAAGAGGCAGAAGCCAUAUCCUGGACACAGUCCCACCACAGGUGGUGAACAGGAAGGUUUCUGCUGUCUUUCCAGACGGCCCAUGCUAUCUGUUCUGACAAGCUUUUUGUUGUUGUUGAGCAAAUUCUGGAAGAGGAAGCAUGCAAAGUUAAUCUAGAUAAUGUGUGUGCUGCUGAACCAGCAGCGGGGUGCAUUGGAAGCUUAUUAUUGCUUAAUGCCAUGAUUGAUGAGCUCGAAAAUAGAGCAUUGCAUGAAUGUGGAAUAAUAAAGAGCUUCUUGGUA